GGAUUAGAUACCCUGGUAGUCCACGCCGUAAACGAUGAGAACUAGAUGUUGGGCCGCAAUGACGGUUUAGUGUCGAAGCUAACGCGAUAAGUUCUCCGCCUGGGGAGUACGGCCGCAAGGCUAAAACUCAAAGGAAUUGACGGGGACCCGCACAAGCGGUGGAGCAUGUGGUUUAAUUCGAUGCUACGCGAAGAACCUUACCUACCCUUGACAUCCUGGAAAGCUUGCGUAAUGGCGAGUGUGCCUUCGGGAAUCCAGAGACAGGUGCUGCAUGGCUGUCGUCAGCUCGUGCCG
rnacentral:rRNA from 1 species